GCUAGUUGCAUUAAAUUCGAUUAAUUCGAAGUUAAUGCAUCAUCGACUAUGUCGAAUAAAGUUCUAGGUAGAGUUAUGAUAAUGACAUUUUCUAUCUAUGUGUCUUGACCAAAUCACGUGCCAGCAGUCGCGGUAAUACGUGGAAGACUAGUGUUAUUCAUCUUUAAUAGGUUUAAAGGGUACUUAGACGGUAAAUUUAGCCCAGAUAAAAACAAAGGGUACUAAUUAUACUAGAGUUUUAUAAGAGGAGGGUGUGUACUAGUGGUGAAGAGAUGAAAUUCUGUCAUACCAUUAUGACAGGCAACGGCGAAAGCAACCUUUAUUUAAAAACUGACGUUAAAGGACGAAGGCUUUGUGUCACCAACAGGAUUAGAUACCCAAGCAGUCUUAGCAGACAAUUAUGAAUGCCAUAGAUAAGAAAUCCUUCUAUAAGUAAGAGAACAUUUAUUUUUCUUUUUUGGAAUCUAACCUCCAAAAAUGAAAGAGGAUGGACUGAAAUAUUACCUAUAAGAAAGGAUGUAUUUUUUGUCUAUAAAUGAAAGUGUAAGCAUUCCACCUCAAGAGUAAUGUGGCAACGCAGAAACUGAAAUCAUUAGACCGUUUCUGAAACCAGUAGUGAAGUAUGUUGUUUAAUUAGAUGGUCCGC
rnacentral:rRNA from 1 species